AUUGAACGCUGCGGCAUGCCUUACACAUGCAAGUCGAACGGUAACAGGUCUUCGGAUGCUGACGAGUGGCGAACGGGUGAGUAAUACAUCGGAACGUGCCUAGUAGUGGGGGAUAACUACUCGAAAGAGUGGCUAAUACCGCAUGAGAUCUACGGAUGAAAGCAGGGGAACGCAAGACCUUGUGCUACUAGAGCGGCCGAUGGCAGGUUAGGUAGUUGGUGGGAUAAAAGCUUACCAGGCCGACGAUCUGUAGCUGGUCUGAGAGGACGAUCAGCCACACUGGAACUGAGACACGGGCCAGACUCCUACGGGAGGCAGCAGUGGGGAAUAUCGGACAAUGGGCGCAAGCCUGAUCCAGCCAUACCGCGUGCAGGAUGAAGGCCUUCGGGUUGUAAACUGCUUUUGUACGGAACGAAAAGCCCCGGGUUAAUACCCUGGGGUCAUGACGGUACCGUAAGAAUAAGCACCGGCUAACUACGUGCCAGCCGCCGCAGUAA
rnacentral:rRNA from 1 species